rnacentral:rRNA from 1 species
CUCAGAACUUAAGGAAUUGACGGGGGCCUGCACAAGCGGUGGAGUAUGUGGUUUAAUUCGAUGCAACGCGAAGAACCUUACCUGGUCUUGACAUCCCGGAGACCCUUAGGAAACUAGGGGGUGCUUCCAUCUGGAAGAAUCUGGAGACAGGUGCUGCAUGGCUGUCGUCAGCUCGUGUCGUGAGAUGUUGGGUUAAGUCCCGCAACGAGCGCAACCCUUGCCUUUAGUUGCCAGCAGUUCGGCUGGGCACUCUAAAGGGACUGCCGGUGUUAAACCGGAGGAAGGUGGGGAUGACGUCAAGUCCUCAUGGCCUUUAUGACCAGGGCUACACACGUACUACAAUGGCCGAUACAAAGGGCAGCGACACUGCGAGGUGAAGCCAAUCCCGUAAAAUCGGUCUCAGUCCGGAUUGGAGUCUGCAACUCGACUCCAUGAAGUUGGAAUCGCUAGUAAUCGUGGAUCAGCAUGCCACGGUGAAUACGUUCCCGGGCCUU